CUGGGGUGAAGGGCCUUGCUCAGGGGCCCAGCAGAGUAGGAUUCCUCUGACAGCUGCAGGAUUUGAACCACCAACCUUCCAGGCACAGAAGAUUUAGUUGAACAUUGCUCCUCUCUCACUGGAGUCUUAUUCAUUUCCUGCAGAAAAUUUCUGUUGAGACGGCUGGCAGUAAGAUGGGCUCUGAGGUCCCACUCGUCAGGAGCUCCUGCCAGUGCCUGCUGGCGCCUGCCCUCUCCACAGGGCGCAGCACGAAGACCCUCCUGUGGUCCCGCCGGCCAGGGCAGUGGAGCCCCCUGCCCUUCCUGACCUCGCACUUGUACUCCUCCUGCUGCUGUAGUUGGACUCUCCUUCCAUUUCCCCAGCUUCUUCUCUCACCGUGUCACUCCUCACUCCUCACUGCUCACUCCUCACUCCUCACUCCUCACUCUUCCUGCCU